UUUUUUGGUGCAGCGAUGUGUGUGUAUUCCGGUUUAUUCAUGAGGUUUGCGUGGAUGGUGCAGCCUCGUAACUAUCUACUUCUAGCAUGUCAUGCCUCAAAUGAAACAGUUCAGUUGUAUCAGCUUUCACGUUUUGCAAAGCAUCAAGGACUUGAUUGUUCGUAGAAUUGAUAUCUUCAAAAGGGUUCUUGUUGCACUGGUUUCAAAGGGAUAUAAACAGUUUGCACUUGCUCCAGUACUAACGCUUUAUGCCCAAAAACGUCUUCGAGGUCUGAUCAGUUAAUUUUUCGAGUACUCGACGCCAGUACAGUGACACACAACCACUCACCCGGUCUUCGCUGCUGAUCGCCGGUAUCACAGACAUCCACAGCCACAAACCAGCCCACAAAUUGUGGCAGCCGUACAUUUGGGUGUGGAUUAUUGUGAACCAUUUAAUUAUCAGGUAAUGAUUCUGACUUAUUAUGUCUGUAUACGCUCAAAACUCAACCGAACGAACUGACC